AAAGGCAAUCCCAGCCCAGACACGUGGGUUGGAGCAGCGUCGCGUUUCUGGGCAAUUGCUCCUGAGACCCAACAGGCAGCAACGGUCCCAAGGGUGAGGGAGUGGGCAGGGAGAGGCUGAUGGGGCUUCUACACGUUCCCUCCCGUAGCUGGGCUGCUGCAGCUCGUUCGCCCCAGAGGCGCGCGGUGUCCUUGAGUCCAAGUAUUCAGCGCGGACGUUUGGGGGACGGAGGGAGAGGCGCUAGGGGAACUGGCACCUAAGACUGUGUAAUAGGACACAGGUCUUGCAAGUCCUCCUCCCCAGGCACCGCCCCUGUGCUCCCAGCGCCUCUUUGCAGCUUUAAUUAUCCUUUCAGCGCCGUUCCCCCGCGGCUGCGUUUCCGUGGUCAGAGGAAAAAGGCUCUUUCGCCUCCCGGUUCUCACCCUCAUACAGACCCUCCUUUCAGACCCGCCCUCCUGUUCACAGGGACCCAUUUCGGAGCCCUGGCUCACGCUGGGCGGGAACUGCCGUGACGAAUUCCCCCCAAGGUGUUGAUUAUCCAUCCCAACCCAGCCUCUGGCUUCCCUCCCACCUCCACCCCAGCUCCCACAGGCCCCUCGCCCCGUUCAUCGGCUGGGCGCUCGAGACGGCGCCCCCAGAUCUCCCACCGGGCAGUGUCCCCAGCUGCAGCUGAGGAGAGAAGCGCCGGCGUGCGCGGUGCCACGUCGGAAUUGGCUCUGGGGACGCCGCAGCUGCCGAAGCGCAGCGCGCGGUCCCCACGCACGCCCUGCCUCCGGGCGGCCGGCGGGCUGGCCCGGCGAGGAGAGGAGGGAUGCGCGCCCUCCUCCCGCUCCUAUCUGCGGGUGCCACCGCCUGCGUCAGGGACCCCUGGCCCGAUCUUUCUGCCCCCGAUAACAGAAAAUCUCUUUUUCGUCUUAAAAAAAAAAAAAAAAAAAAAAAAAGCCUGUGGAAGACUCAGCAGAACCCAGGAAGCGCAGAAUUGGGAGAAAAGUCUUUGGCUGGGGCUGUUUCAAGUCUCUGGUUCAAUGGGCUGCUCGAAGCCAGGACUGGGUAAUUCUUUCCAGACGUCUUGACUUCUCCUUCCCCGCCGUUGUUGCCCUUCUGCCUCCUCCAACUUAAGGGGGUCUUAACAAGUGAGCUGGAUCUUCUGAGGGGUGGACUUCUUUGGAACUCGACAGGACCUUGAAGACUGGGUUCUUAGUCCUUAUCACAUAUAUGGGCUAUAAUGAAUAAGUCUAAACAGAAAAGUCGAAUAAACUGGAAAUGAUGCUUUCAUCACGUCGCACAAGGAGCUGUUUGGAUCAGAAGAUGACAUCCUUUCACCCAUCCCUUUCAGGUUUUGACAUCCUAAAAUGUACCUUAUGGAACCCAUACCUGUUAUGUUUUCACCUGUACAAGGCAACAGAGAAAACAUGGUAGUUUUUACUUGAGUAGAUGUGACUUAGCAAUAUGUUGUUGCUGACCUCCAUCCCACAGCACAAAACAUAUGUUUAUAUGUCUGACAGACAAAGUAUCCAGAACAAGGAUUUAGUACCUUCAUAAUCCUCUGUAUAUGUGGUUCUAGAACUUUUGGUAAAGAAACUCUUUAUACUCUUAUUAAUUAUUGAGAACCUCAAAAAAAGUUUAUAUGUUAUAUGUAUCAAUAUUUACCACAUUAGACAUUAAAGCUGACUUAAAAAGUUAAAAUACUUAAGUCAUUUGAAGUAAUAAUAAAUGC
rnacentral:lncRNA from 1 species